rnacentral:rRNA from 1 species
GACGAACGCUGGCGGCGUGCUUAACACAUGCAAGUCGAACGAUGAAGCCGGAGCUUGCUCUGGUGAAUUAGUGGCGAACGGGUGAGUAACACGUGAGUAACCUGCCCUUGACUCUGGGAUAACUGCUAGAAAUGGUAGCUAAUACCGGAUACGACCCUCGGAGGCAUCUUCAGGGGGUGGAAAGAAUUUCGGUCAAGGAUGGACUCGCGGCCUAUCAGCUAGUUGGGGAGGUAAUGGCUCACCAAGGCGACGACGGGUAGCCGGCCUGAGAGGGUGACCGGCCACACUGGGACUGAGACACGGCCCAGACUCCUACGGGAGGCAGCAGUGGGGAAUAUUGCACAAUGGGCGCAGGCCUGAUGCAGCAACGCCGCGUGAGGGAUGACGGCCUUCGGGUUGUAAACCUCUUUUAGUAGGGAAGAAGCGAAAGUGACGGUACCUGCAGAAAAAGCACCGGCUAACUACGUGCCAGCAGCCGCCGCGG